ensembl:lncRNA
GCAGAAGAGAAGCGAAGCGAAGCGUCUCUGUUCCCCCAGUCAGUCUCCUGUGAGUGCUGGCAUCAAAGGUGGCUCCCCUGAGGCACACACAGACUAAUGAUCACAUGACACGCCACGAGGGGGGGGGCGCGGGAACGAUAACCUCCCUGGCGCUACCCCCUCUUUUUUCUUUUUCUCACAUUCUCUCUCUCACCCUCUCUCUCUCCCCCUCUCUUGUUCUUUCUCUCCCAGGUAUCUAGGUCAAAGGAAAUGUAUUCCGCUUCAGCACCUCCUCCUACCUGAGAUGCCGGUUACAUUCAACAGUCCUCUAAUCUAUAUUGCAGCAGUGGCAAGACUGCGUCAUCCAACCUCAAUGCACUAUGACCUCUUUAUUCAUCUGUAAAGAAAACGUAGCUGAUGAAAACCCAUUUUAAUUAAUAGCAUUUUACACUAGCCGCGAGAUUCUUUAACCAACUUUGAGGUUGUUGUCUGUAACUGUUGAAAACUGGCUUUCUCGCCCUAGUGGAGUCGAGUGGCUUUGCAACAGUGACUAAACUGCCUCGCCAGAAGUAAUGUAAUCAGCGGCUAAUCUCUUCUAAUGUGUGUUAGUGGCUCACUCAGAGAAAGGAACUUAACUUUUUGGAUCGGGGGCCGGCGCUGUUAAAAAACACGUCUGGGGCCCAGAGCACAGUUUGCUAAUGUGAGCACAUUUCCAUUCAUCAUCCAUAAACAGUCUUUUAUUUAUUUACACCGGGGCUCGCGUUGCCUUCGGCUUGCAUUUAAUGUGCAAUAAAUAUAGUCCAUUUUAUUUAGCAAUACAGUUACUACAGUCACACCCGCUGGUGUGUUUAGACAUACUUAAUCACGUUUAUUAGGAAUAUGCUCAUAAUAAUAUCCUUGAACAUACAAGCUAACCUUAAUUACAUUCCAAUUUCAGUCUCAAACUGAGAAAGUCAGAGCAGUUAUAAUAUUUCCUCGAAAAAAAAAAAAAAAAACUCACAGAAUUCAGGAAAUAUUUGUGUGUGUGUUCCCAGAUAGAAGGGGACUCCUGACCGGUUCUGGCCCUGGUCUGGCCCUGGUCUGGCCCUGAAGAGAGUCUGAACGGAGCUGAAUCCCUCCUGGAUCACUCCUGGACUCAGCUGCUGCUGUGUGAAUCAGCCAUCCGUGGUUCCUGACACACAGGUUGCCUUGACAGUGACACGUUAAGGAAAUGACACGGGGGUGAGUCAAGAAACAGUAAGGGUUACACCCCUGACAGCUUCGCCAUCGCAGCAACCAAGUAACAAGAGAGUGUUAAUCAUGAUAACAGAUGUCAUAUAAGUGGCCCUGACAGGUUCCAUCUUCAUCACAUUGAGAACGGUCUAAAUCCCUUAUGAAGUGUACUCUGGCUGUAGUCGUGGCAACGAUUAUGUUAUAGAAGGAUAUCAUAGCUGAUGUCUCUUGAAAAGCACAAAUAUUUGAUCGCCAGUGAUAAACUGGCCCACAGUGGUUUAACCGAUGGUUAUGGAAAAAAAGAAAUAAAAAUACAGCAAAUACUUGUCGUACUAAACUAAACUAAACUACUCCACUAAAAGUGCUCUACUUGGUGGGAUGGUGCAAAAUCCUUCUGACAUAAACAUGGAAUUCACUUUAUGAGACAACAUAAACGGAAUGUGCUCUGUGAGUGUGUGAAUGUGUGUGUGUGUGUGUGUGUGUGUGUGUGUGUGUGUGUGUGUGUGUGUGUGUGUGUGUGUG